GACGAACGCUGGCGGCGUGCUUAACACAUGCAAGUCGAACGGUAAGGCCCUUCGGGGUACACGAGUGGCGAACGGGUGAGUAACACGUGGGUGAUCUGCCCUGCACUUCGGGAUAAGCCUGGGAAACUGGGUCUAAUACCGGAUAGGACCACUGCCUGCAUGGGUGGUGGUGGAAAGCUUUUGCGGUGUGGGAUGGGCCCGCGGCCUAUCAGCUUGUUGGUGGGGUGAUGGCCUACCAAGGCGACGACGGGUAGCCGGCCUGGGAGGGUGACCGGCCACACUGGGGCUGGGAUACGGCCCAGACUCCUACGGGAGGCAGAAGUGGGGAAUAUUGCACAAUGGGCGCAAGCCUGAUGCAGCGACGCCGCGUGAGGGAUGACGGCCUUCGGGUUGUAAACCUCUUUCAGCAUCGACGAAGCGCAAGUGACGGUAGGUGCAGAAGAAGGACCGGCCAACUACGUGCCAGCCGCCGCCGUAA
rnacentral:rRNA from 1 species